rnacentral:rRNA from 1 species
AUUGAACGCUGGCGGCAGGCCUAACACAUGCAAGUCGAGCGGUAGCACAGAGAGCUUGCUCUCGGGUGACGAGCGGCGGACGGGUGAGUAAUGUCUGGGAAACUGCCUGAUGGAGGGGGGUAACUACUGGAAACGGUAGCUAAUACCGCAUAACGUCGCAAGACCAAAGUGGGGGAACUUCGGGCCUCAUGCCAUCAGAUGUGCCCAGAUGGGAUUAGCUAGUAGGUGGGGUAACGGCUCACCUAGGCGACGAUCCCUAGCUGGUCUGAGAGGAUGACCAGCCACACUGGAACUGAGACACGGUCCAGACUCCUACGGGAGGCAGCAGUGGGGAAUAUUGCACAAUGGGCGCAAGCCUGAUGCAGCCAUGCCGCGUGUGUGAAGAAGGCCUUCGGGUUGUAAAGCACUUUCAGCGGGGAGGAAGGCGGUGAGGUUAAUAACCUCAUCGAUUGACGUUACCCGCAGAAGAAGCACCGGCUAACUCCGUGCCAGCAGCCGCCGUAA